AUUGAACGCUGGCGGCAUGCCUUACACAUGCAAGUCGAACGGUAACAGGUCUUCGGAUGCUGACGAGUGGCGAACGGGUGAGUAAUACAUCGGAACGUGCCCGAGAGUGGGGGAUAACGAGGCGAAAGCUUUGCUAAUACCGCAUACGAUCUCAGGAUGAAAGCAGGGGACCGCAAGGCCUUGCGCUCACGGAGCGGGCGACGGCAGGUUCGGUAGUUGGUGGGAUAAAAGCUUACCAAGCCGACGAUCUGUAGCUGGUCUGAGAGGACGACCAGCCACACUGGGACUAGGACACGGCCCAGACUCCUACGGGAGGCAGCAGUGGGGAAUUUUGGACAAUGGGCGAAAGCCUGAUCCAGCCGUGCCGCGUGCAGGAUGAAGGCCUUCGGGUUGUAAACUGCUUUUGUACGGAACGAAAAGACUCUGGUUAAUACCUGGGGUCCAUGACGGUACCGUAAGAAUAAGCACCGGCUAACUACGUGCCAGCAGCCGCCGUAAUAC
rnacentral:rRNA from 1 species